GAGGCAGCAGUGGGGAAUAUUGCACAAUGGGCGAAAGCCUGAUGCAGCGACGCCGCGUGAGGGAUGACGGCCUUCGGGUUGUAAACCUCUUUCAGCAGGGACGAAGCGCAAGUGACGGUACCUGCAGAAGAAGCACCGGCUAACUACGUGCCAGCAGCCGCGGUAAUACGUAGGGUGCAAGCGUUGUCCGGAAUUACUGGGCGUAAAGAGUUCGUAGGCGGUUUGUCGCGUCGUUUGUGAAAACCAGCAGCUCAACUGCUGGCUUGCAGGCGAUACGGGCAGACUUGAGUACUGCAGGGGAGACUGGAAUUCCUGGUGUAGCGGUGAAAUGCGCAGAUAUCAGGAGGAACACCGGUGGCGAAGGCGGGUCUCUGGGCAGUAACUGACGCUGAGGAACGAAAGCGUGGGUAGCGAACAGGAUUAGAUACCCUGGUAGUCCACGCCGUAAACGGUGGGCGCUAGGUGUGGGUUCCUUCCACGGAAUCCGUGCCGUAGCUAACGCAUUAAGCGCCCCGCCUGGGGA
rnacentral:rRNA from 1 species